GAUUUUCCCAAUAAAAAAGUCUGGUCGGUCGGUCGGGGGAAAAAAAAGAAAAACAAAUAUCUUUCAAGACAGAAAAAUAUGCAAAAUAUAUAUAUAUUUCACCUUUCUUACAUGCUAUUUUGUCAUCAUGUCUUAAAUUGUAGGUCAAUGAAAUAUUAUUGCUCAGCUGUCAUAAAUAUCGCAUCUUAUAAUUUCUCGUAAAAAAGGGGGGUGCACGGACAAAGACAAAAUUAAAUCCUCAUUUUUCAAACAAGAAAAACAGAUUCGCAUAGCUCUUAAUCAAUUUCAGAAAACUUGGUGAAUAAUGAUCUUUAAGC
rnacentral:lncRNA from 1 species